CUGUAUGCCAGAUGGCAUAGGUAUGAGAAGGAAGAGCACUCUCAGGCCACAUCACCAGGACUUGAAGGACAGCAGCACAUCUUUAUUUUAUGGCAGGGGCUCGACAUAUUGCCAGGCUGGAGUAUGGUGGCUAAUCAUAAAUAUGAUGAAGUGCACUGCAACCUUCAACUCCUAGACUGAAGCCAUCCUCUCUCUCAGCCUUUCAACUAGCUGGUACUACAGACAUGCACCACCACAACUGGCUUUCUUCCUUUU
rnacentral:lncRNA from 13 species